UACGAAGGGGGCUAGCGUUGCUCGGAAUCACUGGGCGUAAAGCGCACGUAGGCGGAUCUUUAAGUCAGGGGUGAAAUCCCAAGGCUCAACCUUGGAACUGCCUUUGAUACUGGGGAUCUCGAGUCCGGAAGAGGUUGGUGGAACUGCGAGUGUAGAGGUGAAAUUCGUAGAUAUUCGCAAGAACAUCAGUGGCGAAGGCGGUCUGCUGGGCCGUUGCUGACGCUGAGGCGCGACAGCGUGGGGAGCAAACAGG
rnacentral:rRNA from 1 species